AAUAUAUUUCUAUGGUUUAUUAGCUACCCAGUCUGUGCUAUUUAAAAAAAUUUUUUUUAAUACUUAGUUUUUUGAGAGACAGAGCGAGAGUGAGCAGGGGAGGGGCAGAGAGAGAGGGAGACACCAAAUCUGAAGCAGGCUCUGAACAAUCAGUGCAAAGUCCGACAUGGGGCUCAAACCCACAAACCGUGAGAUCAUGACCUGAGCCGAAAUCGGAUGCUUAACCGACUGUGCCACCCAGGCGCCCCCAGUCUGUGAUAUUUUAUUAUAGCGGCCUGCACAGAUGAAGACAGGCCAAGAGAAGGAACACAGGAAGAGAUUUUAACUUUUCUCUUUAUAAAGGGAAGAUUGUGCACUGAGUUUCAAACAGACUGAAUUUUAAGGGAAAGAGAAUGGAGAGAAUUCCAGCCAUCAUUUGGAAAUACAGAUAUGGAGAGGGGAAACAUAAGGCUAAGAGAGAAUUUGCCCAUGAUCGUACUGCCCGCGAACAGUGACACGCAGAUCCAAGCUCAGUCGGCUUGCAGGACAGUGAUGCAGGUGAACCUUGGCUGGUCCCCACUGCUGUGAAUGACGUUGCCUGUAUCUGCACAUGGCUGUUGAGACUGAAGAGGAAGAAACUACCUAAACCAGCCAAGAUAUUUUAAUGAGAACAGAAGAGAGAACCCGUGGAAGAAGAAUCAAGAGCUACUAGACUUUCUGGCCACAUGGACCUGGGAUUUCCCAACUCUGUCACCUGUGCAUAAACAGAGAACUGAGAGAUGACACGGAUGGUUGGUCUUUUUUGGAUGGCUCUUGAUGACAGGGAGGGCUGCUUCAGAGGAGUGAAUUUCAAGCACUUAGAUGUUGAAUAACAGAGGAAGCAAUUUGGUAAUUGUGUACAUGAAGCUGAGAAGAUGCCAUCUUGGUUUCCUGUUCCUUCCUGGUGGCCACAAGGAAUGUGUAUCUUCAUUCAUGUCUCCUCCUCUGGUCCUACUUCCUGGGAGCCAUGAUGGAUGAACCACAGCCAGUGAAGAUUUUGCUCCCCAUUUAUCAUGUUCUGGCUUGUUCUUGGAGCCAUUUGCUUUCCAACAGGUGAGUUGGAAGAUAUGGAUUACAUGUUGUUAAUAUGGUAAGUAGUAGGAUGUUGUGGUCAUUUUCUUUGGGAUGUACAAGUGGGACUUAGCAUAACAAAAGCUCAGGAAACAGAAAUUUAUGCUUCCCAAUCAUCCCUCCUUGAUUCUACUUACUGACUUUAAAACUCCCACAAAAAGUACCUUAUUUAGAUUAAAAAAAA